rnacentral:lncRNA from 10 species
ACAUGCAACAGAAUUUAUUAAGCCAUAAAAGGGAAUGAAAUUCUGAUACAUGCUACAACAUGGAUAAGCCUUGAAAACAUUACUUUUAAUGAAAUAAGGCAGACGCACACAAAACAACGUAUUUUAUUAUUCUACUUCUGACAAAAUUCAUGGACACUACCUACAAGUUACCAGGGGCUGAAGAUAGAAGUGUUGAGGAGUGAUUGCUUAAUGGGUACAUAAUUUUUUGGAAUGAAGAGAAAGAUCUGAAAAUGGAUAGUGGUGGUAGCCAAUAUUGUCAAUGUACUUAAUGCCACCGAACAGUACACCUAAAAAAUGAUUAAAAUGGGGCUGUGCGCGGUGGCUCACACAUGUAAUCCUAGCACUUUGGGAGGCCGAGGCAGGUGGAUCAUGAGGUCAAGAGAUCAAGACCAUCCUGGCCAACAUGGUGAAACUCCAUUUCUACUAAAAAUACAAAUAUUAGCUGGGCAUGGUGGUGCGCACCUAUAGUCCCAGCUACUCAGGAGGCUGAGGCAGGAGAAUUGCUUGAACCCAGGAUGUGGAGGUUGCAGUGAGCCAAGAUUGCACCACUGGACUCCAGCUUGGGCAACAGAACGAGACUCUGCCUCAAAAAACAAAAACAAACAAACAAAAAAACCCAGUGAAUUUCAUGUUAUGUUUAUUUUACCACAAUUAAAAAAUUAUGAAGAAAUAAUGGCCAAAUACUUCCUUGUGAAAGACAGUGACUCACGUAUCUAAGAAUCUGAAGGAUCCCCAAGCAGAGUAAAUGCACAGGAAACUGCACCAAGACACAGAGUCAAACUGUUGAAAACCCAAGAUAAUUAUCUGAAGAGGAGCCAGUGACAAGCAACACAUUACUUACAUUACUUACAGGGGAAUAAUGUUAAGAAUAACGCUAACUUUUAGUCAGCAACAAUGGAGGCCAGAAGACAAAGAAAUGACCCCUUUAAAGCAUAUCCAGACCAGGCGCGGUGGCUCACACCUGUAAUCCCAGCACCUUGGGAGGCUGAGGCAGGCAGAUCACCUGAGGUCAGGAGUUCAAGACCAGCCUGGCUAACGUGAUGGAACCUCAACUUUACUAAAAAUACAAAAAUUUGCCAGGCAUGGUGGUGCAAACCUAUAAUCCCAGCUACUCAGGUGGCUAAGGCACAAGAUCGUUUGAACCUGGGAGGUGGAGGUUGUAGUGAGCUGAGAUCAUGCCACUGCACUCCAGCCUGGGCGACACUCUGUCUCAAAAAAUAAAUUAAAAUAAAAUAAAAUAACAUAUUCAGCCAAAGUAUCUCCAAAAACUAAGGUGAGGAGACUUCCAGGUAACUAAAAACAAUGGCCAGUGAGUGGUAAGCAACCUCCCCAAAUCCCCUUUCAAAUGCUGUGAAGUAACUCCACACCUAUGAAUCUUCUACACAAAACUAUACCUUCAACACUGCCUUUAAGACAUAGAGAAUGCCAAAAUUGCAACAUAACUAUGAGUAAAAUGAGAAAAAGCAUUAAAUCUUAGCACCACGGUCCCACACAUGCCCACCCCAAGGCUCUGUUAGGAGAACUGCAGGAAACAGACUUAAAACUAUGUGUCAUUUAUAGGCCGGAGCAACUGUGUCUCACACUGCUAAUAAAGACAUACCUGAGACUGCCUAAUUCAUAAAGAGGUUUAAUGGACUCAUAGUUCCACAUGGCUGGGGAGGCCUCACAAUCAUGGUGGAAGGUGAAUGAGGAGUGCUGUCUGAAUAGCCCACCCCUUAAUUUGCAUGUAAUUAAAACUGGGUAUAAAUACUGCUAGCCAACAGCCUAUAUGCUGCUACCCUGGGUAUACUGCCUAUGAGUCAGCCCUGCUCCACAAGGGGCAGCCACUCUGCUGUGCCCUGCUGCUUCAAUAAACCCAAUUUCUUUUACUGCUGGCUGCCUCUUGAAUUCUUUCCUGAGCAAAGCCAAGAACCCUCCUGGGCUAACCCCCAGUUUGGGGGCUCAUCUGCCCUACAUCAUCAGCAGAAAAAUAGAGACUCAAAGAAUCAGAAGGAAAGAUCAGAAAUCAAAGCCAAGGUGGGCGGAUCAUGAGGUCAGGCCAUCAAGACCAUCCUGUCUCACACGGUGAAACCCCAUCUCUACUAAAAAUACAAAAAAAUAUUAGCCGGGUGUGGUGGCGGGCACCUGUAGUCCCAGCUACUCAGGAGGCUGAGGCAGGAGAAUGGCAUGAACUUGGGAGGCAGAGCUUGCAGUGAGCCGAGAUCGCGCCAUUGCACUCCAGCCUGGGUGACAGAGCAAGACUCUGUCUCAAAAAACAAACAAACAAAAAAAAAAAAACAAAAAAAAACCACACAACUGACCAAUGACCAGGUGUAUGGGCUCCAGGCAGCAUCCAGCUGGGUGUAGAAACCCCCUCCCACCAAUAAACAAAUGAAAUAGAAAAACAAGCUGGGUGUGGUGGCACAUGCCUGUAUUCUCAGCUACUUGGGAGACUGAGGCAGGAAGAUUGUUUGAGCCCAGGAGUUCGAAUCUAGCCUAGGCAACAUAGGGAGACCCCCAUCUUAAAAUAAAUAAAUUUAAAAGAAAAACAAUGAAAUAUCCAUAGCAG